AACCAGCACCUCAAGUGGUCAGGAUGAUUAUUGGGCCUAAAGCAUCCGUAGCCGGCUCUGUAAGUUUUCGGUUAAAUCUGUACGCUCAACGUACAGGCUGCCGGGAAUACUGCAGAGCUAGGGAGUGGGAGAGGUAGACGGUACUCGGUAGGAAGGGGUAAAAUCCUUUGAUCUAUUGAUGACCACCUGUGGCGAAGGCGGUCUACCAGAACACGUCCGACGGUGAGGGAUGAAAGCUGGGGGAGCAAACCGGAUUAGAUACCCGGGUAGUCCCAGCUGUAAACUAUGCAAACUCAGUGAUGCAUUGGCUUGUGGCCAAUGCAGUGCUGCAGGGAAGCCGUUAAGUUUGCCGCC
rnacentral:rRNA from 1 species